GUUCGAAGGGCGCCCUUGCUCUUUGGCAAAAGCACAAACAGCUUUCUGCGAACUCAGUUCUGCCCCAGAGUUGACCUCCGGCGUGGUCGGUCCCGGAUGCUGGUUGUAGCCCUGGAAAUGAAUGGAAUAACCCACCAAUGAAUCAGGGCCCACUGACUGAAAUCCUAUCUUUGUGCCUUUGAAUUCACAUUGGAGCAAAGAAUUGAGAUGAAGGUUUUCAGAGGCUGUAAAGAGCAUCCUCCGAUUGACCUGUGGUCUGCUGCGGUCUGGAAGCAGAUGAUCCUCCUUGUGAAAACAGAAGGUCCAUAGUGGCCUAAGGCUGCGUCACGAUGCUUGCAUGAUUCAUAUCACGUCUUCUCACCUCAGAGGCAUUUUGUCGUCUUACAUCACCACAGCA